GAUGAACGCUGGCGGCGUGCCUAAUACAUGCAAGUCGAGCGAACAGACGAGGAGCUUGCGCCUCGGACGUUAGCGGCGGACGUGUGAGUAACACGUGGAUAACCUACCUAUAAGAGUGAUAUAACUUCGAGAAACCGGAGCUAAUACCGUAUAAUAUAUUGAACCGCAUGGUUCAAUAGUGAGAGACGGUGUUGCUGUCUCUUCUAGAUGGAUCCGCGCCGCAUUAGCUAGUUGGUAAGGUAACGGCUUACCAAGGCAACGAUGCGUAGCCGACCUGAGAGCGGGAUCGGCCACACGGGAACUGAGACACGGUCAAGACUCCUACGGGAGGCAGCAGUAGGGAAUCGUACGCAAUGGGCGAAAGCAUGACGGAGCAACGCCGAGUGAGUGAUGAAGGUCCUCGGAUCGUAAAACCCUGUUAUUAGGGAAGAACAAAUGUGUAAGUAACUAUGCACGUCUUGACGGUAACUAAUCAGAAAGCCACGGCUAACUACGUG
rnacentral:rRNA from 1 species